AUGGAACCCAGAUAAUGAAAGUUCAUCUCGAACUCUCGAGUCAUAGAAAAAUUCUACUACAUGCUACAUAUUGUUCUUUUGCAUGCAACGAAAAUAGUCUUUGGAAUUUUCUUUCCAAUUGAAAGAAUUUAUGGAAAUGGAAAACUAAACAAAAGAGCCUGCAUCAGCGGGUGAUCAAAUCUUAUAACCUUAGGAUCAAUGGA
rnacentral:misc_RNA from 1 species